rnacentral:siRNA from 1 species
UCAACGCCUAAGAUUGAU